rnacentral:lncRNA from 1 species
AUUAAAUUGAAAAAUUAUUGGGAAGUCCAUAUAAAUAUUUGUACUUGCCUAAAUAUACUUAAACUCGACAAUGAUUAUAAUACACAACUAAUAACAGUUACACAAUCAAGCUACACAACUAGCUAAACAACUAUAUUUUCACAAACUAAAAAAUACACAUAUAUGAAAAUAAGUUAUAUAUUAUUUUUCAUCAUCAAAAUAUAAAGAUUAGAUACAUGAGCUUCAUAACCUACAAAAUUCCACUAUUCUCAGCCCUUCAAAAAUGGAUGACAAUACUUUCCAGUCAACAAGUUUCAAUUAUUUCAUGUUUUUCCUCUCUUUUUUACCACUCCUAGUGUAUGAAGUUCAAUUCGAAGCAAAUGAUAUUUGAAUUUGCGUCAGGUGUUGCUUCUUCAUCACCACUUCUUCAUUUUCAAUUAGAUCAGUAGCAUUUGAAGACAACUCCUUUACUAAAAGAUUGCGCUGAUGUGCCGUUCAGGCACUCCUCCAAUAACAUUAUAGUUUGUCAAUCUAUUCAAAAAUCAGUAACAUGAACAAAUAUCAAUGGUCAAAUGAUAAUAUAUAAUACAUUUACUUCAUAACACACAUAGAAGAGUAGAUGAUUUGUGUUUGACAUCAUAUCAUAACUAUCAAGAAACAAUAACCAACUGUCAGAAUUUCAAAUUAUAACUGUCGAGAAUGAUAAUUUAUCUCGACAUAUGGAUUCGAUAAGAAUUACAUAUGAAUUCUCCAUAUGCUAACUUGAAUCAAAUAUUUGAAUCCUCAAAUUGAAUUUAGAUCAAAUUUAAAAACAUAUCAACUCAAAAACUCAGCCCACAUUUAAACUAAACUAAAAAAUUUCAUCCGAACAACACGUAAACCGACCAUAAAUCAAUUCAACAACUCGCUGUUAGUAAAAGAUAAAAAAGAUCUCAACAUAUGUAUUUAAAUUAUUGUACUUACAAAUCGAAUAAUCAAGUCUUUGAGAAAACAUGAUCACAUAACAAACAUAACUCCUUAUUCAUCCGAAAUUGAAU